rnacentral:rRNA from 1 species
GACGAAGGGGGCGGGCGUUACCCAUGAUGACUGGGCGUAAAGAGUCCGUAGGCGGCUUUUCAAGUUAAAAGUAAAAUCAAAAAGCUUAACUUUUUGAGGCUUUUAAUACGUUAGAGCUUGGAGUUUGAAAGGAGAUAGUAGAAUUUCAUAUGGAGGGGUGAAAUCCGUAGAUAUGUGGAGGAACACCUGUGGCGAAGGCGCCUUGCUGGCCAAUUUCUGACGCUGAGGCGCGAAAGCGUGGGGAGCAAACAGG